CCUGAGAGAAAUUUUAUGUAUAGCACGAUGGAGGAGGCGCAACGACCCACUACUCUAGGCCAACCUUUUAUAUCGCACAGACUAAACUAGGGCCUUUUCCAUUAAGAAGAGAUCACAAUUGGUGAAGUUUACAAAAUAAGCCGAAAACGAUGCCACGUUUUAUUGCUACCGGUUCACUUAUUCCACCGGUUAACUCCGGCUAUCUUAUUUUAAUAUCGGUUAUUCCAAUUUCCGGUUUAAAAUCCCUAAUUGUGUGUAAACCGGUUUGGUAUGCCUAAACGGUUUCCACUUCACGUUAUAUGUAAUGGCCACCGCUAAACAUCAACAUCAAUAUCAAUGAAGAUUUGAUUCUCUUUUUCACCUUUCUCUCUCUAUGACUGCGUAACAACCUCCUGAUCAUUCCUCCAUUGGUCGAUCUUCGAAGGUCAUGUUCUUCACAUACUCGCUUCCAGGUCUUUGAUUUCUUCUCUGAAACCGGAUUCACACUGAGAUAUGUAGCCCCAACAUUGUCGUAGUAAAUAACAGGAGCUUUGGGAAGCUGAAUAUGUAGUUCUGUUAACAAGUUGCAGACCCAUCUCAAUUCUGCAGCGGCAUUUGCUAUUGCUCGAUACUCAGCUUCCGCAGGGGAUAACGUUGGAGAAUUAAGGAAAGAGCUGGCUAUGAUUCAACAGAGGUUUCAGUUGAGUCUGCCUCAAGAAAGCUAUUUUUUUUACAUAUACAAACAGAAUGUAAUGGAUGAUGACCGGUCAUUCCGGUAGCACCGUGUUGAUCACGGCGACACAAUUGAGAUUUUCAGCGGAAGUGUUUCCGGUGGCUCUUAAUACCCUCAGAUUCUUUCAAUUCUUUAGCUAAUUGUUUAAGAUCAAAUGUCUUCAGUAAGAUCUCAAAUCUUUGCCAGGUACAAGCAUAAAGAGUUGACAAAAGGGAAGCAUAGGAUGCUGUGUGAUCACAUGUGAAGGAACGAGAUCUAAAAGAGGAAAUGGCCGUUUGGUGUAAGAGAGUCAAGCUUACUCUAUUGGGUAAAUGUUGGGAAGCUCUCCAUCAUGUCACUUUCUCUUAUGGCCGUUAACCUUUAUCUCUCUUUCUCUAGUAUCAACACUUAACCUAGAAUCCCUUAUUAUGUAACCGAGAAUAUCAAAUGAAAAACAAUGAGUUCUUGCAAAAUAUUAUCUCUA